rnacentral:tRNA from 1 species
AAGGGAGACCUAAUUCAGGUAGGAGACGAAAAAAAAGUAGUCGCUACCAAGAAUCAAUCCCAAAAGGUCGGAGCGAGGCGAAAUUGGCUUUCAAACUAGGUUCUGGGUUCAAACAAGACCUGAAUCAGGAACAAGGGCUAUUAGCUCAGGUGGUUAGAGCGCACCCCUGAUAAGGGUGAGGUCCCUGGUUCGAGUCCAGGAUGGCCCACCUGCACAGGUGGCAAAAACAAGAGAAGCUCCGAAUCAGCACCUUAUCUUACUGACAUAGUAAGAGAGAAUGCUGGCUCUGAGUAAAGAGUCCAGAGGAACCUUGAAAACUGCAUAGAGCUAGGUGAAAAAGCCAAAAAAGAAGACCGCAA